CAUCUCAGAGCUGGCUGAGCAUUGCUGUCCUCAAGGACCCCAGUCCUCUGUCACUUUCUCUUGUAAUUUUGUAUAUGAUGGCGUGUGCUGGGAACUGGAAAUGUAACCACUGCCUGAAAUGGGGAGCUGAAUGGAGAGAGAGAUGUAGUGUGCUGUGUUGUGAAGAAUAGGAAUGAGUAUGACAGCCAAGAUGAUACUAGUGGAGAGACUGGAAAAGAAUGAGGAAGGAUUUGAGAAAAUUCCAAAGUAGAAAACAUAGCAGAAAUUCCCGUAGAAAAGACAAGGUGGUGUGGAACAAGAGAGAGGAAGGAGAGGAGGAGGAGGAGGAGGAAGUGAUUGCUAAGCACAGCUAAUAGCAGCACUGAGGAGUUUUAAUUUACAGUCUGCUGUAAUUAACCACAGUUCCAUUCCAAUGCAUUUCAGGAAUGAAUGUGGCAUGUAGUUUUUCUUUUGGCUGUUGUGUUGCUGGUGCAGAGUAGGCUGAAUUUCAAGCCAAACAGAGUGGACUCCAUUUAUGCUCAAAGAACAUCUUGCAGGCCCUGAGCAAACCUGUUAAUAAUAUCAUUUGUCGUUGGAGAUUGCACUGCACACGGAUUGCAGGCUUUGCUGUGGUAGACGAGGAAUGCAUUCUGAUUCUGCACUGUACAAAGCUGUUCACAGUAACUGUCCAAGCACGAGCUCCUGUCACCUGGCAGCAUGGUGUUGUCCCAGACGCUCUGUAGUGCUGGGGCAGACCUUGACCUCAUUGGUAUGACCCACAGAGGCUCCUUCUAAAUCCCCCUGGGGGACUUUCCAAGUAGGGAAGGGGCUGAUCUGUGUCUUGUGCGUUCUUUAUAUCUGAAGGACGAGAGGCAACUAUGGAGGGUUCCUAAAAUUCAUCUGAACUUAGUUGUCCUCUACUUCUUUGUGGGAUGCUGGUGCCAUGUGCUUGAGAGCUGCUUUGGAUGCUGUUGAUUCUUCUGAGCAGGUUGGGUGGCUUUUACAUGCUGGCUUGCAGAACACCGAGAUCUUAGAGUGGCAUCUUUCAAAGCCCUUGUGCAAUUAAAAACCAACCAAACAAAUAACAACAAAAAACAAAACAAACCCACAAAAACCCCAGAAAAAUGGAAACCGGUGGCUGCAAUUUCAGUUAAACAACGGUUUCCUAUCCUGUUUAAAAAACAACAACAAAAAAC